GACGAACGCUGGCGGCGUGCUUAACACAUGCAAGUCGAGCGGAGCGGCGAACGGGUGAGUAACGCGUGAGUAACUGCCCCCCUCUCUGGGAUAACAGUUGGAAACGGCUGCUAAUACCGGAUAGUGGGGGAUGAUUCGGGUCCUAUCAGCUUGUUGGUUGGGUAGUGGCCUACCAAGGCGAGGACGGGUAGCCGGCCUGAGAAGGCGACCGGCCACAUUGGUCUGAGAGACGGACCAAACGGCUACGGGAGGCAGCAGGGGGGAAUAUUGCGCAAUGGGGGAAACGCUGAUGCAGCAACGCGCGUGCGGGAUGACGGCCUUCGGGUUGUAAACCGCUUUCAGCCAUGACGCGGUAGUGGCAGAAGAAGCACCGGCUAACUACGUGCCAGCCGCCGCGGUAAUAC
rnacentral:rRNA from 1 species